UGGGGAAUAUUAGUAAUGGGCGAAAGCCUGAACUAGCAACGCCGCGUGUGCGAAGAAGGCCUUCGGGUCGUAAAGCACUUUUUGAGAGGAUGAGGAAGGACGGUACUCUCAGAAUAAGUCUCGGCUAACUACGUGCCAGCAGCCGCGGUAACACGUAGGAGGCAAACGUUAUCCGGAUUUACUGGGCGUAAAGCGCGUGUAGGUGGUUUGGUAAGUAGGGCGUGAAAGCUCCUGGCUCAACUGGGAGAGGACGUUCUAAACUGCCAAGCUUGAGGAUGGUAGAGGGAGGUGGAAUUCCGGGUGUAGCGGUGGAAUGCGCAGAUAUCCGGAGGAACACCAGUGGCGAAGGCGGCCUCCUGGGCCACUCCUGACACUCAGACGCGAAAGCCAGGGUAGCAAACGG
rnacentral:rRNA from 1 species